GAUGAACGCUGGCGGCGUGCCUAAUACAUGCAAGUCGAACGCUGAAGCUUGGUGCUUGCACCGAGCGGAUGAGUUGCGAACGGGUGAGUAACGCGUAGGUAACCUGCCUGGUAGCGGGGGAUAACUAUUGGAAACGAUAGCUAAUACCGCAUGACAACAGUUAUUGCAUGAUAACUGUUUAAAAGGGGCAAUUGCUCCACUACCAGAUGGACCUGCGUUGUAUUAGCUAGUUGGUGAGGUAACGGCUCACCAAGGCGACGAUACAUAGCCGACCUGAGAGGGGGAUCGGCCACACUGGGACUGAGACACGGCCCAGACUCCUACGGGAGGCAGCAGUAGGGAAUCUUCGGCAAGGGACGGAAGGCUGACCGAGCAACGCCGCGGGAGUGAAGAAGGGUGUCGGAUCGUAAAGCUCGGUUGUAAGAGAAGAACGAGUGUGAGAGUGGAAAGUUCACACUGUGACGGUAGCUUACCAGAAAGGGACGGCUAACUACGUG
rnacentral:rRNA from 1 species